AGAAGCUGGUGGAAUAUGAGUUGGUCGUGACUGAAAGGAAGGUGGUGUAAUCAUGGUGUCAUGGCUCUGAAGAAGCUGCUGGUAUCUUGACCGUAACUGUGACGGUAAGGCCAUUCCCUUGAUCACUGGCUACUGAGUGGAAUGCGAUGGAUCUGGAUCAAUGGCUGUUGGUACUUUUCUUUUUUCUUAGACAAUCCUGGUGCCAUAAGAAUACC
rnacentral:lncRNA from 1 species